rnacentral:lncRNA from 1 species
UGACUAAACCUGUUCACCACCUCCUGUGAAGACGUCCUGUUCUCACACAUUGAGUUUUUUCAAUGUAGUGAACAAGGAGCCUAUAUGACAACCUGGAGGAUUAUUAUGAUGCUUAUUUACGCCGCUGCAGUCAGCAGCAAAGAAGCAGAGAUUCUUCCCGUGAACCUCGGAGAGAAUGUUUGCAUGCCAUGUCAUGGACCUGCAAAAGCACAAAUCGUGUUGGUGGAGUGGACCAGACCAGACCUGGAGUCACCUGAGUAUGUAUUUUUCUUCCGGGAUGAGCGAUCCUACACGUCCUACCAGCACUGGUCCUUUGUGGGUCGGGUGGAGCUGAAGGAUAAAGAGAUGAAGAAUGGAGACGUGUCCCUAAUUCUGAGCAGCGUGAGAAUCAGUGACGUCGGUGUGUAUGAGUGUCGGAUCUCACAAGGAAAGACAAGGUCAAAGAGAGCCAACAUCAAGAUGGAGCCGAUCCAAGUCAUCAGCCUGAAGGUGGAGGAGGAAGGUGAGAUGGAGACAGAGAACGUCAGUCAGUGUUCGGCCAUUCCACAUCAAUAUGAAGGUGUUGUCAGGUCUAACGACUCCACAAUGAGCUGCUGGAUGCCAAUAUUUGUCUGAAUAUAAACAAACUAUGGUUCUGAAAUGGAGGCAUCAGGCCUCACUCAGGCUCUUGAUCAGCCUCAAUGAACAUCUGGCCUCAACAAGGAGGCCUCUGUCCCACUGUCUGACAAACAUUCUUUGUGUUUUCCAGGCGCUAAAACCAACGUCUGGCACAUCGGAGCUGCGGCGAGUCUCAUCCUGUCUGCUGUGGUCGUGAUACUUGUUGCUGUGAUCUUCAAAAAACGUAAUAGGGAGCAAAAAUAAAUACUGCACUUCUUUACA